UUUCCGUAGGUGAACCUGCGGAAGGAUCAUUAUCGAGUUAGGGUCUCUAGCCCGACCUCCAACCCUGUGUCUCCUAUACCAUGUUGCUUUGGCGGGCCCGCGUUCGUCGCCGCCGAGGGGUUGACCCCCCUGGGCCCGUGCCCGCCGAUCGCCCCCUCUUAAACUCUUGAUCAACCGUGAAUGUCUGAGUAAAAAAAACACCAAGCACUAAACUUACAACAACGGAUCUCUUGGUCCCAGCACCGAACAACAACCACGCCGUACGGACGAGCAACCCUC
rnacentral:misc_RNA from 1 species